rnacentral:lncRNA from 1 species
UUUAUUAGUCAUGGGUAUGUGAGAAAAAAAAUAAAGAGAAAGUAAGAGAGUUUCAUACAUCAAAUAUGGCCUCAAACACUUUUUCUUUGACUUCACCUCCCAUUUUCACGAGAAAAAUUUCAAUUAUGGGUUGUGAAAAUGCAAACAUAUGUACAAUUUUUUUAUUUUGGGAUGUGGUUGAAAAUGAUGGUGAACCCCCACCAUUGCAAUCUCAUCCAACUGCAGCUUAAUUAAAGAGUCAUAUGAAGAAAAAUCCAAUUACAAAGUAAGAACUUGCUUGUACUUCUCAGUU